UCGAAAUAAUAUCGAUAGGAUCGAUAUAAUCGAGUUCCGUUACCAGCCAAUGAGAGAGCUUCUUGGCGAAAUUUGGCGCGCAGCGUCAGUCUUCAGUGGAAAGUGAACAAGUGAGGACGUGUGACCGCUGCCGGCUUGGAAAAUUCUACUGCGCAAUUAUUACCAGAUUAUUACUGGGCCGAUAUAUUGGUCGGGAAGGCGGGAAAAAUUCCAACAUGGACGCCAUUGUACUUUUUCAAAGAGAAAAGUAUGAUUUUUCGCUCGUGCAUUAGAAUUUUUGUGAUCGCGCGCAAUGCGAUCGGUAGAUUCAGUGUUUGCUUCGUAAUAGUUUUUUAGAGUAUUUAGAGCACAAUAGCUCUAAUUAAAUUACUAUAAUUAUUCGCGAAACUAGAGUCAGUGCUUGUUCGCCGCUUCUAUUUGAAAUCGACGCGUUAGUAGUUUUUUAUUUUUAUUUUUUUUAUUUUUUUGAAAUUUUAUUCGUUUUCGGUACAGGGUAGAAUCAGUGUUCCUCGAGGAAUAGGGCGGUCAUCCAUCACGCGAAGAGUUCUCCCUUCCUCGUGAUGACUAUUUGGCGAUGACAUCUUGGGCCACGACAAUGCAGAUUCUUCGCAUCUAUUGUUUCAGAAUUAGCUUUUUCUUGAGAUUCGCAACAACCCUCCAAGUUGGAUCGAUAUAAUCGAGUUCCGUUACCAGCCAAUGAGAGAGCUUCUUGGCGAAAUUUGGCGCGCAGCGUCAGUCUUCAGUGGAAAGUGAACAAGUGAGGACGUGUGACCGCUGCCGGCUUGGAAAAUUCUACUGCGCAAUUAUUACCAGAUUAUUACUGGGCCGAUAUAUUGGUCGGGAAGGCGGGAAAAAUUCCAACAUGGACGCCAUUGUACUUUUUCAAAGAGAAAAGUAUGAUUUUUCGCUCGUGCAUUAGAAUUUUUGUGAUCGCGCGCAAUGCGAUCGGUAGAUUCAGUGUUUGCUUCGUAAUAGUUUUUUAGAGUAUUUAGAGCACAAUAGCUCUAAUUAAAUUACUAUAAUUAUUCGCGAAACUAGAGUCAGUGCUUGUUCGCCGCUUCUAUUUGAAAUCGACGCGUUAGUAGUUUUUUAUUUUUAUUUUUUUUAUUUUUUUGAAAUUUUAUUCGUUUUCGGUACAGGGUAGAAUCAGUGUUCCUCGAGGAAUAGGGCGGUCAUCCAUCACGCGAAGAGUUCUCCCUUCCUCGUGAUGACUAUUUGGCGAUGACAUCUUGGGCCACGACAAUGCAGAUUCUUCGCAUCUAUUGUUUCAGAAUUAGCUUUUUCUUGAGAUUCGCAACAACCCUCCAAGUUGGAUCGAUAUAAUCGAGUUCCGUUACCAGCCAAUGAGAGAGCUUCUUGGCGAAAUUUGGCGCGCAGCGUCAGUCUUCAGUGGAAAGUGAACAAGUGAGGACGUGUGACCGCUGCCGGCUUGGAAAAUUCUACUGCGCAAUUAUUACCAGAUUAUUACUGGGCCGAUAUAUUGGUCGGGAAGGCGGGAAAAAUUCCAACAUGGACGCCAUUGUACUUUUUCAAAGAGAAAAGUAUGAUUUUUCGCUCGUGCAUUGUAUGUAUUUAUUCUUUAUUCAUUCGAUCGUUAUUAUUUGAUAUACUUUGUCAUUACGUAAACGUGUAUUUUAUCCUAUAUGUAUAAUGAACAUUCAUCAUAAUUAUUAAUAGUUUUGCAUUAAAUUUGAUAUGAUCGUUCCAUUUUAAAUGUUUUUAUUCAUGAAAAAAAAUGGAUAAUAAUCGAUUCAGAGUUUUAAUAAAAACGUUAAUUCUUUCCGAAACAAAUGUUGGAUAGAAAGAAAAAAUAUUUUGCUUCUUUUUCUAUAGAUUCCACGCGCCCCCCUCCCACUCAUUACUAAUACAACUUUAUUUCCAGAGAAUUUUUGUGAUCGCGCGCAAUGCGAUCGGUAGAUUCAGUGUUUGCUUCGUAAUAGUUUUUUAGAGUAUUUAGAGCACAAUAGCUCUAAUUAAAUUACUAUAAUUAUUCGCGAAACUAGAGUCAGUGCUUGUUCGCCGCUUCUAUUUGAAAUCGACGCGUUAGUAGUUUUUUAUUUUUAUUUUUUUUAUUUUUUUGAAAUUUUAUUCGUUUUCGGUACAGGGUAGAAUCAGUGUUCCUCGAGGAAUAGGGCGGUCAUCCAUCACGCGAAGAGUUCUCCCUUCCUCGUGAUGACUAUUUGGCGAUGACAUCUUGGGCCACGACAAUGCAGAUUCUUCGCAUCUAUUGGUGAGUCGCAUGCAUUUAUGUUCCUCCGGUCAUUCAAUCAUGUCGUAGGACGAAAGGUCCGUAUCGACACGGAUGACUGGUUGUAUACGUAGAAUUUUGCACGAGCACAGUGACCACGGGUAUUUAUUAUACUCGUGAAUAGUAACAUUUUUCUUGUAUUUUAUUUAUUAGAUCAGGAUAGAUCUUCUUGCACGUCGCGUUUUUGUAAAGAUGAUAUUGAUAGUUAAUUUUAAUAUUAAACAACACGUUAAUUAUGAAUAUAUAGAAUGAUAUGAAUAAUUAGUAGUUUGAUUGAUCUAUGAUUGAUUUAUUUAUUUU